UACGUAGGGGGCAAGCGUUGUCCGGAAUCAUUGGGCGUAAAGCGCGUGUAGGCGGUUCGGUAAGUCGGCUGUGAAAGUCCAGGGCUCAACCCUGGGAUGCCGGUGGAUACUGUCGGGCUCGAGUCCGGAAGAGGAGUGUGGAAUUCCUGGUGUAGCGGUGAAGUGCGCAGAUAUCAGGAGGAACACCAAUGGCGAAGGCAGCACUCUGGGACGUGACUGACGCUGAGACGCGAAAGCGUGGGGAGCAAACAGG
rnacentral:rRNA from 1 species